CAGUCGCCGCGGUAAUACGAAGGGUGCAAGCGUUGUCCGGAAUUAUUGGGCGUAAAGGGCUCGCAGGCGGUCUCUUAAGUCUGAUGUGAAAGCCCCCGGCUCAACCGGGGAGGGUCAUUGGAAACUGGGAAACUUGAGUGCAGAAGAGGAGAGUGGAAUUCCACGUGUAGCGGUGAAAUGCGUAGAGAUGUGGAGGAACACCAGUGGCGAAGGCGACUCUCUGGUCUGUAACUGACGCUGAGGAGCGAAAGCGUGGGGAGCGAACAGGAUUAGAUACCCCUGUAGUCCCUGUCUCUUAUAC
rnacentral:rRNA from 1 species